AAGGCGGGCUGGACCUCUCGGGGUUACAGCCUUGCUGAAUUAUUCACCCUUGUCUUUUGCGUACUUCUUGUUUCCUUGGUGGGUUCGCCCACCACUAGGACAAACAUAAACCUUUUGUAAUUGCAAUCAGCGUCAGUAACAAAUUAAUAAUUACAACUUUCAACAACGGAUCUCUUGGUUCUGGCAUCGAUGAAGAACGCAGCGAAAUGCGAUAAGUAGUGUGAAUUGCAGAAUUCAGUGAAUCAUCGAAUCUUUGAACGCACAUUGCGCCCUUUGGUAUUCCAAAGGGCAUGCCUGUUCGAGCGUCAUUUGUACCCUCAAGCUUUGCUUGGUGUUGGGCGUCUUGUCUCUAGCUUUGCUGGAGACUCGCCUUAAAGUAAUUGGCAGCCGGCCUACUGGUUUCGGAGCGCAGCACAAGUCGCACUCUCUAUCAGCAAAGGUCUAGCAUCCAUUAAGCCUUUUUUUCAACUUUUGACCUCGGAUCAGGUAGGGAUACCCGCUGAACUUAAGCAUAUCAA
rnacentral:rRNA from 1 species